UAGGGAAUUUUCGUCAAUGGGCGCAAGCCUGAACGAGCGAUGCCGCGUGAGUGAAGAAGGCCUUCGGGUCGUAAAGCUCUGUUGCGGGGGAAAAAAGGCAGCAUCAGGAAAUGGGUGCUGACUGAUGGUGCCCCGCCAGAAAGUCACGGCUAACUACGUGCCAGCAG
rnacentral:rRNA from 1 species